AACAUCCUGCGACGUUGGUAAGCGCAUGUGAUACGUUUUGUUCCAACACAUUUAUAAUCGGGAGCUGACUCUUCACUCGCGGCAUUGCAUCUUUAUUUUAUAUUGAUACAGAAAGCGCGUGAGAAGCACCCACCUGCUCAGGCAGGUUCAAAACCUCACUCCUUACGGCGGGGCGGGAGAUGU
rnacentral:other from 1 species